UGUCUGCUGACAUGUUAAUCCUUAACAUUCUACCUUUAUAUUCUGUUUGAUUCCAUUGGAUUGCUGACUUGGCUCCUUCUUCUUGUUCGAAAGUAAUAAAAGCGCAUCCCUUAUCAGAAAGAACUGAUACUCUUUCAAUAGAUCCGCAUUCUUCAAACAGACCUCUAAUCUCCUCCUCAGUGCAAGAAUAUGGAAGGUUGCCACAAUAUACUUCUCUAGAGUCUUUGUUAUUUGUAUUCUGUCUCUUUCUUGGUUGACUG
rnacentral:antisense_RNA from 1 species